AACGAACGCUGGCGGCAUGCCUAACACAUGCAAGUCGAACGAGACCUUCGGGUCUAGUGGCGCACGGGUGCGUAACGCGUGGGAACCUGCCCUUAGGUUCGGAAUAACUCCCCGAAAGGGGUGCUAAUACCGGAUAAUGUCUUCGGACCAAAGAUUUAUCGCCUUUGGAUGGGCCCGCGUUGGAUUAGCUAGUUGGUAGGGUAAAAGCCUACCAAGGCGACGAUCCGUAGCUGGUCUGAGAGGAUGAUCAGCCACACUGGGACUGAGACACGGCCCAGACUCGAAAGGGAGGAAGCAGUGGGGGAGAUUGUACAAUGGGAGGGAGGCUGAUGCAGCAACGCCGCGUGCGGGAUGACGGACUUCGGGUUGGAAAGCGCUUUCGCAUGUGACGAAGGGUGAGUGACGGUAAUGGGUAAAGAAGAACCGGCUAACUACGUG
rnacentral:rRNA from 1 species